rnacentral:snRNA from 1 species
GUUGAAAUGGCAAGUGCC